CUGUGUGUUGUUGGGUAGGGGAGCGUUCUGUAAGCCUGUGAAGGUGUGUCGUGAGGCAUGCUGGAGGUAUCAGAAGUGCGAAUGCUGACAUAAGUAACGAUAAAGCGGGUGAAAAGCCCGCUCGCCGGAAGACCAAGGGUUCCUGUCCAACGUUAAUCGGGGCAGGGUGAGUCGACCCCUAAGGCGAGGCCGAAAGGCGUAGUCGAUGGGAAACGGGUUAAUAUUCCCGUACUUGGUGUUACUGCGAAGGGGGGACGGAGAAGGCUAUGUUGGCCGGGCGACGGUUGUCCCGGUUUAAGCGUGUAGGCUGGUUUUCCAGGCAAAUCCGGAAAAUCAAGGCUGAGGCGUGAUGACGAGGCACUACGGUGCUGAAGCAACAAAUGCCCUGCUUCCAGGAAAAGCCUCUAAGCAUCAGGUAACAUCAAAUCGUACCCCAAACCGACACAGGUGGUCAGGUAGAGAAUACCAAGGCGCUUGAGAGAACUCGGGUGAAGGAACUAGGCAAAAUGGUGCCGUAACUUCGGGAGAAGGCACGCUGACACGUAGGUGAAGUGAUUUACUCAUGGAGCUGAAGUCAGUCGAAGAUACCAGCUGGCUGCAACUGUUUAUUAAAAACACAGCACUGUGCAAACACGAAAGUGGACGUAUACGGUGUGACGCCUGCCCGGUGCCGGAAGGUUAAUUGAUGGGGUCAGCGCAAGCGAAGCUCCUGAUCGAAGCCCCGGUAAACGGCGGCCGUAACUAUAACGGUCCUAAGGUAGCGAAAUUCCUUGUCGGGUAAGUUCCGACCUGCACGAAUGGCGUAAUGAUGGCCAGGCUGUCUCCACCCGAGACUCAGUGAAAUUGAACUCGCUGUGAAGAUGCAGUGUACCCGCGGCAAGACGGAAAGACCCCGUGAACCUUUACUAUAGCUUGACACUGAACAUUGAGCCUUGAUGUGUAGGAUAGGUGGGAGGCUUUGAAGUGUGGACGCCAGUCUGCAUGGAGCCGACCUUGAAAUACCACCCUUUAAUGUUUGAUGUUCUAACGUGGACCCGUUACCCGGGUUGCGGACAGUGUCUGGUGGGUAGUUUGACUGGGGCGGUCUCCUCCUAAAGAGUAACGGAGGAGCACGAAGGUUGGCUAAUCCUGGUCGGACAUCAGGAGGUUAGUGCAAUGGCAUAAGCCAGCUUGACUGCGAGCGUGACGGCGCGAGCAGGUGCGAAAGCAGGUCAUAGUGAUCCGGUGGUUCUGAAUGGAAGGGCCAUCGCUCAACGGAUAAAAGGUACUCCGGGGAUAACAGGCUGAUACCGCCCAAGAGUUCAUAUCGACGGCGGUGUUUGGCACCUCGAUGUCGGCUCAUCACAUCCUGGGGCUGAAGUAGGUCCCAAGGGUAUGGCUGUUCGCCAUUUAAAGUGGUACGCGAGCUGGGUUUAGAACGUCGUGAGACAGUUCGGUCCCUAUCUGCCGUGGGCGCUGGAGAACUGAGGGGGGCUGCUCCUAGUACGAGAGGACCGGAGUGGACGCAUCACUGGUGUUCGGGUUGUCAUGCCAAUGGCACUGCCCGGUAGCUAAAUGCGGAAGAGAUAAGUGCUGAAAGCAUCUAAGCACGAAACUUGCCCCGAGAUGAGUUCUCCCUGAGACUUAGAGUCUCCUGAAGGAACGUUGAAGACGACGACGUUGAUAGGCCGGGUGUGUAAGCGCAGCGAUGCGUUGAGCUAACCGGUACUAAUGAACCGUGAGGCUUAACCUUACAACGCCGAAG
rnacentral:rRNA from 1 species